UAGGGAACCUUCCGCAAUGGGCGAAAGCUUGACGGAGCAACGACGCGUGAGUGAUGAAGGGCGUCGGAACGUAAAACUCGGUUAUUAGGGAAGAACAAAGGUGUAAGGAAAUAGGCACGUCUGGACGGGACCUAAUCAGAAAGCCACGGCGAACGACGUGCCAGCAGCCGCGGUAAUACGUAGGUGGCAAGCGUUAUCCGGAAUUAUUUGGCGUAAAGCGCGCGUAGGCGGUUUUUUAAGUCUGAUGUGAAAGCCCACGGCUCAACCGUGGAGGGUCAUUGGAAACUGGAAAACUUGAGUGCAGAAGAGGAAAGUGGAAUUCCAUGUGUAGCGGUAAAAUGCGCAGUGAUAUGGAGGAACACCAGUGGCGAAGGCGACUUUCUGGUCUGUAACUGACGCUAAUGUGCGAAAGCGUGGGGAUCAAACAGG
rnacentral:rRNA from 1 species